UUUUAGAAGAUGAAAUAUUUAUUGUUAACAUUUUUACAGAACCAAUGGAUUUAUGUCAAGGCCACUAAGACCAACAAGUAAAUGUGAGUCAUUUAUAUAAUACAUCCAAUAUUAUACUGUCUGUACACUCACACUUGUAUUUAAUCCUACAGGCUUUCAGUGGUUAUUAAAAUACAUUUGUACACACAGGUCAUCCACAGUGAACAAAAUAUCAGUUCUAUGCAGCUGUACACACUAACUAUGGACUUGUAGCAACACUGACAUAAAAUGUACACACAGCUCAAACACAUCAGUCUUGAUGAUUGUAAACAUUUAAAUAGAGGAAAACACAUUACAUUAACAGUUAACAAAAAAAUAUAUAUCAUUUUUCAAGUAAAUAAAAGAUGGCAACAAGCAAUAAUCACCAAACAGAUGAACAAAAACUUAAAAAAUAUUUUAGUACAACUAAGCCAACCAGAAUAAAAAAAAGUCAAGUUACAAGAAUUUAAAACAGCACAAACUAAUACUUAAAUGAAUCAGUCAGUAGUACUGAUCACUAAAAUGUUAUAGCUAGUUAUUGACUUGAUUAAAAAAAAACAACA